AUGCGAUAAGUAAUGUGAAUUGCAGAAUUCAGUGAAUCAUCGAAUCUUUGAACGCACCUUGCGCUCCUUGGUAUUCCUUGGAGCAUGCCUGUUUGAGUAUCAUGAAAUCUUCAAAGUAAAUCUUUUGUUAACUCAAUUGGUUUCUACUUUGGUAUUGGAGGUCUUUGCAGCUUCACACCUGCUCCUCUUUGUUCAUUAGCUGGAUCUCAGUGUUAUGCUUGGUUCCACUCGGCGUGAUAAGUUAUCUAUCGCUGAGGACACUGUAAAUGGUGGCCAAGGUAAAUGCAGAUGAACCGCUUCUAAUAGUCCAUUGACUUGGACAAUACUUUUAUGAUCUGAUCUCAAAUCAGGUAGGACUACCCGCUGAACUUAAGC
rnacentral:misc_RNA from 1 species